rnacentral:rRNA from 1 species
AUUGAACGCUGGCGGCAGGCCUAACACAUGCAAGUCGAACGAGUGGCGGACGGGUGAGUAAUGUCUGGGAAACUGCCUGAUGGAGGGGGAUAACUACUGGAAACGGUAGCUAAUACCGCAUACCAUCGGAUGUGCCCAGAUGGGAUUAGCUAUUAGGUGGGGUAACGGCGCACCGAGGCGACGAUCCCUAGCUGGUCUGAGAGGAUGACCAGCCACACUGGAACUUGGACACGCUCCAGACGCCUACGGUAGGACGCAGUGGGGAAUAUUGCACAAUGGGCGCAAGCCUGAGGCAGCCAUGCCGCGUGUAUGAAGAAGUCCUUCGGGUUGUAAAGUACUUUCAGCGGGGAGGCGUUACCCGCAGAAGAAGCACCGGCUAACUCCGUGCCAGCAGCCGCGGUAAUAC